UUUGAUUCUGGUAAGCACUAUGGGGACUGAUGGUCAUUUUCUUUUUCAGGAUCUCCAGGAGGAAGAACUUGAGGAUGUGGUCGAUCCAUUGGUGGUAACUGAAGAAGAGGUAGCUCAGCCUGAAAGUGGCAACGGCCACGGCAGAGGCCAUGGCAGAGGCAGAGGCAAAGGCCAUCACCAUGAGCAUCACC